AAAUGUAAUUGACCAGUACUGAAAGGUGAUACUGUAGUGGUGGGGUAAUAUCUGAAUUCGUUUACGGUGGGUACGUGGUCAAGUUUCAGGGACGAAACUUCUUUUAAGGGAGGAAUAGUGUAAGGACUGAUAUUUUGGCAGUGCAACUAAACUCUCUGUUAACGAUGUUUCUGUGUGUAAUUUAAUUACAUAAGCACUCGUCAAGUUUCAGGAGAAAAUUAGCUAGAAUGGAGAAGUUAUGCGAUCAGGACCGAUGACUUAAAGUGAAUAGUAA
rnacentral:lncRNA from 1 species